rnacentral:rRNA from 1 species
AUGAUCAUGGCUCAGAUUGACCGCUAGCGUAAUGCCUUACACAUGCAAGUCGAACGGCAGCACGGACUUCGGUCUGGUGGCGAGUGGCGAACGGGUGAGUAAUGUAUCGGAACGUGCCCAGUAGCGGGGGAUAACUACGCGAAAGCGUAGCUAAUACCGCAUACGCCCUACGGGGGAAAGCAGGGGAUCGCAAGACCUUGCACUAUUGGAGCGGCCGAUAUCGGAUUAGCUAGUNUAGGUGGGGUAACGGCUCACCAAGGCGACGAUCCGUAGCUGGUUUGAGAGGACGACCAGCCACACUGGGGAACUUGAAGAAC